AAUCAACGCUGGCGGCGUGCCUUAGACAUGCAAGUCGAACGCGAAAGGUUCCUUCGGGAACCGAGUAGAGUGGCGCACGGGUGAGUAACACGUAGGUAAUUUGCCUUUGGGUGGGGAAUAACUCAGGGAAACUUGAGCUAAUACCGCAUAAUGCAGCGGCUCGACAUCGAGACAGUUGUUAAAGCGGGGGAUCGCAAGACCUCGCGCCUAAAGAGAAGCCUGCGGCAGAUAGCUAGUUGGUAGGGUAAUGGCCUACCAAGGCAACGAUCUGUAACCGGCCUGAGAGGGCGGUCGGUCACACUGACACUGACAUACGGGUCAGACUCCUACGGGAGGCAGCAGUCGGGAA
rnacentral:rRNA from 1 species